GCCACAUGGAGCAAAUCUGUGUGCAGUGCUUUUCACAAGAAGGUGUCUUUCAUGGGGAUUAAAACAUGAACGGCCCUUGUUGUGAGGAGUAAUGUACAACAUGUAAUGCCUGUGUGGU
ensembl:miRNA Mir3585 microRNA 3585